rnacentral:rRNA from 1 species
UGGUGCCAGCAGCCGCGGUAAUUCCAGCUCCAAUAGCGUAUAUUAAAGUUGUUGCAGUUAAAAAGCUCGUAGUUGAAUUUCGGGAUUAGUGCGCCGGUCGUGCCUUCGGUAUGUACUGGUGUUACUGGUUCCUACCUUCUGACGAACUGUCAUGUCAUUAAUUUGGUGUGGCGGGGAAUCAGGACUGUUACUUUGAAAAAAUUAGAGUGUUUAAAGCAGGCUCGCGCUUGAAUACAUUAGCAUGGAAUAAUGAAAUAGGACGUUCGAUCCUAUUUUGUUGGUUUCUAGGAUUGACGUAAUGAUUAAUAGGGAUAGUUGGGGGCAUUAGUAUUCAAUUGUCAGAGGUGAAAUUCUUGGAUUUAUUGAAGACUAACUACUGCGAAAGCAUUCGCCAAGGAUGUUUUCAUUAAUCAAGAACGAAAGUUAGGGGAUCGAAGACGAUCAGAUACCGUCGUAGUCUUAACCAUGAACUAUGCCGACUAGGGA